GAUACUACAGCUGCGACCAUGGAGACCAUGGAUAGGAGUUCAGAAGCAACCUGUUUCUCCAUCAAUCUGUUCUCUGUGAAUGAGGACCAGGUACAGGGAGAGAUACAGGUGGCCAAACAGAGGCAACACCAAGGCCUUUCUCUACAGUUGAGCACAGGGCUGGAGGAGACAGAGCUCACUAUUCAGGAUGGUGAUGGGGCCUGUGUAUUCAAAUUCACAGUCACCAGGGAAACAGACUGUUGUCGGGUGGGCACCCAAUCUUUCCUCAUAACCGUUGGCUGCCUGAGUGUUCUCUUGCAAUUCAGAACACAGAGUGAGUUUCAGGAGUUCCACAGACAGCUGAGAAGAGAAGAUAAGCCAGCAGUGUUUGACCAGAGAACUGAAGACUCCUCAGCCCUGCAGUACUUCCAGUUUUAUGGCUGUUUAUCACAACAACAGAAUAUGCUGCAGGAUUAUUUGAGGACAGCCACGUAUCAAAAGGCCAUUCUGCUAAACGAGACGGAUUUCAAGGACAAGAUAGUACUUGAUGUUGGCAGUGGAUCAGGGAUCCUGUCUUUUUUCGCCAUCCAGGCAGGAGCGAAGAGGGUAUAUGCUGUGGAGGCCAGCCCUGUAGCCAAAUUUGCAGAGAUGCUUGUAAAGAGCAAUCAUCUGUCAGAUAGGAUCAUAGUCCUGGCUGGAAAGAUUGAGGAGGUGUCGUGCCCUGAGCAGGUGGACGUGAUCAUCUCAGAGCCCAUUGGCUACAUGCUGCUGAACGAGAGGAUGCUGGAGAGCUACCUCCACUCCAGGAAGUGGCUCAAACCCAAGGGUAUGAUGUUCCCAACCUGCAGUGACAUGCACCUCGCUCCCUUCACUGACGAGCAGCUCUACAUCGAGCACUAUGGACGCUCUAGCUUCUGGCACCAGACCUGUUUCUACGGGGUUAACCUGAGCGGUCUUCACAGUUCUGCAGUUGAUGAGUUUUUCAAACAGCCCAUAGUUGAUACAUUUGAGAUGUCGAUUCUAAUGGCAAAAUCUGUCAAGCACUGCAUCAAUUUCAUGGAGGCUAAAGAAGAGGACUUACACAGGAUGGAGAUUCCAUUUGUGUUUAAACUGCUCCAGUCGGGAUUGAUCCAUGGGCUGGCCUUCUGGUUUGACGUAGCAUUUGUAGGAUCCAAGAUGACAGUGUGGCUGUCCACUGCUCCUAGUGAACCUCUGACUCACUGGUACCAGGUCCGCUGUCUCUUCCAGACCCCUCUGUUUGGCAAGGUGGGACAGACUCUGUCCGGAUCUGUCCAGUUCAUAGCCAACACAAGGCAGAGCUAUGACAUUCACAUCACAGCAGUUGUUGAUCAGUCCGGCUUCAAAUCUGGCAACAGUUUGGAUCUAAAGAAUCCUUUCUUCAGGGUACACAGUUGGCUGCUGGUGUAAGAACCUCCAGACAAUGCAGGAGCAAAGAGUGUGGACAGACCCUUUACAGACUAGAGUCUGUGCCACUGUGGCACAAGCCCUGGGACUAUAGGCUAGGUAUGCCUGAAGUGAUGAUCACCAAUCAAGUUCCAGGAGCCUUCAUGUCCUUCGCUAUAAAACUGUCCAUGAAAGAACUUUGAAUGUACAUUAAUAUGUUUUUAUUUUGUAUAAUCAUAUAGCCAAAGCUACAGUUCAUUUAUUAUAGUGUACAGGGACACCAAGUGGAAAUAAGUGGAUCUACAAUAUCAAUGCAAUUAAGAGAGAGAGAUACAAGUGUAUGUAUUGUAAACCUGUAACCCAAAACCAAUAAACUUGUGUUA